GACGAACGCUGGCGGCGUGCUUAACACAUGCAAGUCGAACGGAAAGGCCCUGCUUGCAGGGUCCUCGAGUGGCGAACGGGUGAGUAACACGUGGGUGAUCUGCCCUGCACUUCGGGAUAAGCCUGGGAAACUGGGUCUAAUACCGGAUAGGAGCCAUUUUUAGUGUGAUGGUUGGAAAGUUUUUUCGGUGUAGGAUGAGCUCGCGGCCUAUCAGCUUGUUGGUGGGGUAAUGGCCUACCAAGGCGGCGACGGGUAGCCGGCCUGAGAGGGUGGACGGCCACAUUGGGACUGGGAUACGGCCCAGACGCCUACGGGAGGCAGCAGUGGGGAAUAUUGCACAAUGGGCGCAAGCCUGAUGCAGCGACGCCGCGUGGGGGAUGACGGCCUUCGGGUUGUAAACUCCUUGCGCUAGGGACGAAGCUUUUUGUGACGGUACCUAGAUAAGAAGCACCGGCUAACUACGUG
rnacentral:rRNA from 1 species